AGUCUCCUCUCCUCACUAGGAGGGGGGGAGGGGGAAGGAGUUAUAAAGUAGUCUCCUCUCCUCACUAGGAUUUUUUAUUGGUGCGAAGAAGGAAAGAGUAGAUGGCGCCAGUUAUUCAGAGCUCACAACCAUGGGUUGAGAAAUACCGGCCGAAGCAAGUGAAGGACGUGGCGCAUCAGGAGGAGGUGGUUCGAGUACUCACCAACACUCUCGAGACUGCUAACUGUCCGCACAUGCUCUUUUAUGGACCACCAGGAACCGGGAAAACCACUACCGCACUUGCCAUCGCCCACCAGCUAUUUGGACCUGAGUUGUACAAGUCUAGGGUGUUGGAGCUGAAUGCAAGUGAUGACAGAGGGAUUAAUGUUGUUCGGACGAAGAUCAAGGAUUUUGCUGCUGUUGCUGUUGGGUCCAGUAACCGUCAAGGUGGUUAUCCUUGCCCAUCGUUUAAGAUCAUUAUCCUAGAUGAGGCUGAUUCGAUGACGGAAGAUGCUCAGAACGCCUUGAGGCGCACAAUGGAAACUUACUCCAAAGUCACCAGAUUCUUCUUCAUAUGUAAUUAUAUCAGCAGGAUCAUAGAGCCCCUUGCUUCAAGAUGUGCCAAGUUCAGGUUUAAACCACUUUCUGAAGAAGUCAUGAGUAACCGUAUCUUGCAUAUUUGUAAUGAAGAAGGUCUCAACCUUGGUGGAGAGGCUCUUUCAACUUUGAGUAUCAUAUCACAAGGUGAUCUCCGUAGGGCCAUCACGUAUCUGCAGAGUGGUGCUCGGUUGUUUGGAUCAACAAUAACUUCGACGGAUUUACUCAAUGUGUCUGGGGUAGUCCCUCUGGAGAUAGUGAAGAGAUUUUUUACUGCAUGCAGAAGUGGUGAUUUCGAUAUUGCAAACAAGGAAGUGGACAACAUAGUUGCAGAAGGAUAUCCUGCAUCUCAAAUCAUCAAUCAGUUAUUUGAUAUAGUCGUUGAAGCUGGUGAUGACAUAACGGACAAUCAAAAGGCUAAGAUCUGCAAAUGUCUAGCUGAAACAGAUAAGCGACUUGUAGAUGGUGCGGAUGAGUACCUGCAGCUUCUGGACGUGGCAAGCAAUACAAUUACUGCACUCUCAGAAAUGGCUCAAGACUACUAAAGCAAAUACCCUCUAAAGCUCUGCAUCUAGAUUUGAAUUUUGGUUGUGCUUUGAAACGGACAUCUACGCUCUUUCAAAAGACCAGGAGCAGUGCCGUUUAACUGGGAGAUCCGACCCGGUAUUCCCAAGACCCGAGAUCCGACACCCGACGAUGGCUAUGAUGUUCCCACUCUCCUUCAACCUCCCAAAAAACUCUCUCCUCUCCAAC